UAGUUAAACUUUCAGCCAUGUGGCACUUAUAGAUCACCAGCACAGAUGACAGCUUAGAAAACCUCAGACAAAGGCAACGAGAAUAAAUAGCCCCAGAAUCCAAAAUAGAUAGCAAAUGUACUCCCCCAAAUAAUAGAGGGAAAGGGGAAAGUGAUGGUAUCCAAGAACAAGAUGAAAAAGCUCACCCAGGUAGUCGACAAAAUCGUUGCAAAACAGCCAAACCUAAGUGCUACCCUCCCAGUUAGCCAGGCAACGGAAAGCACGGAAGAUGGAGAAGAGGUAAAUCUGGUAAUGAUUCUCAAAGAAUUGGGGGAUUUCCAUGAAGAUAACAAGCGACAAAUGGAUGGCAUAAAGGCAAAAUAGAAAAAAAAAAAAACUUAAGGUUAGAUGAAGCAGAGACACGGAUUGCAACUGCUGAAGAUCGCGUACGAGGGGCCGAGGACAUGCGAACAGAACUGCUAAAGCUACAAGAGCAGCUCCAAUUAAAGCUGACA